rnacentral:rRNA from 1 species
AUUGAACGCUGGCGGCAGGCUUAACACAUGCAAGUCGAACGGUAACAGGAAGCAGCUUGCUGCUUCGCUGACGAGUGGCGGACGGGUGAGUAAUGUCUGGGAAGCUGCCUGCUGGAGGGGGAUAACUACUGGAAACGGUAGCUAAUACCGCAUAAUGUCGCAAGACCAAAGAGGGGGACCUUCGGGCCUCUUGCCAUCGGAUGUGCCCAGAUGGGAUUAGCUUGUUGGUGGGGUACCGGGUCACCAAGGCGACGAUCCCUAGCUGGUCUGAGAGGAUGACCAGCCACACUGGAAGUGAGACACGGUCCAGACUCCUACGGGAGGCAGCAGUGGGGAAUAUUGCACAAUGGGCGCAAGCCUGAUGCAGCCAUGCCGCGUGUAUGAAGAAGGCCUUCGGGUUGUAAAGUACUUUCAGCGGGGAGGAAGGGAGUAAAGUUAAUACCUGUGCUCAUUGACGGUACCCGCAGAAGAAGCACCGGCUAACUCCGUG